CCUACGGGAGGCAGCAGUGAGGAAUAUUGGUCAAUGGACGAGAGUCUGAACCAGCCAAGUAGCGUGAAGGAUGACUGCCCUAUGGGUUGUAAACUUCUUUUAUAUGGGAAUAAAAUGUUCCACGUGUGGGAUUUUGUAUGUACCAUAUGAAUAAGGAUCGGCUAAAUCCGUGCCAGCAGCCGCGGUAAUACGGAGGAUCCGAGCGUUAUCCGGAUUGAUUGGGUUUAAAGGGAGCGUAGGUGGAUUGUUAAGUCAGUUGUGAAAGUUUGCGGCUCAACCGUAAAAUUGCAGUUGAAACUGGCAGUCUUGAGUGCAGUAGAGGUGGGCGGAAUUCGUGGUGUAGCGGUGAAAUGCUUAGAUAUCACGAAGAACGCCGAUUGCGAAGGCAGCUCACUGGACUGCAACUGACACUGAGGCUCGAAAGUGUGGGUAUCAAACAGGAUUAGAUACCCUAGUAGUC
rnacentral:rRNA from 1 species